ACCCGCCGGGCCGCGCCUCCGGUUCCGCCUCAACCUUCUCUUCUCGUGGCCGUCGAUCUUGAUGAAGAUCGACGUGUACUCCCCGAUUUAUAUCUAGUAUUCGUUGUUCAGCUCCAACGGCAUAGUCGGCUUGAGUUUGGUGUCGUUUAUGAUGGUUCCGUUGGAGGAGUAGUUAAUUAAGGUUUUUCUUUUCCGAUCUCGCCCACGAUGAUGGCUUCCAAUUCGUUGCUUCCUCAUCAAAAUCGAUAAGUUCACCGGCGCCGACUAGUACUUGAACGACUAGGAAAACGACUAGUGGUGGUGAUCUUGCGGUAGACGGCGGAGACUUCAGAAUCUUCUGCGACUUUCAGAAUUGUGGUGGCUGUUGAUUCUGGAGAGAGAGAGAGAGAGACCGA
rnacentral:lncRNA from 1 species